AGGGCAAUCUGGGAAAGUGGCCAAGCACGGUAUUAGGGAGCGAUGCACCCAGCCACAGCCUGCUGGAGGCAGCAGACCUCACCUUCCCCGGGCACUGGAUCAGGCUGUGCUGCUAUUCAAAAUGCUGCUGAGGAGCCAUGUAUUUAUUACCACUGUAUACUACAGAGUUAAUUUUGAAGUCCCAGUUACCAUCAGAUCUUUAAACAGCUCUCAAGCAGAUACUGAAACAGAUUGAUGAUGCCAAGUUGACAUAAACUAGAAGUGUUAAAUUCUGCUGCCAGUUUCAGAUGCUUUGAAAUACUUCAAAAGCAGAGCUCCACUGGCUCCAGAUUGAGGACUGUGCUAAGCACUGUAUACCUAUGUGAUGAAAAGUCCCUAUCUCAGCCAGCUUACAUCUCAAGUGUAAAAAGCUUCCUGUUGACCAAAUGAAUGCUCAGGAGAAACUGGGCAAAGGUCAUCAACGCAAUCCCUAGGAAGAUGUGAAAAUUACAAAGUCUAAUUAUUGUAGCUGUGCAAAUGAAGUGGGGACUGGCAAGAAAGAUGGCCAUAGUCCACUGAAGGACUAAUGAAAGUCUGCUAGCAGGAAUGUGUGGAGAAAGACAUGUAGCCUCAGGAAAAAAGAAAAAAAAAAAUAGCUUUCAAACAUAUAUAGCUUGUACUGAGCAUGUGGUGCU
rnacentral:lncRNA from 1 species